rnacentral:rRNA from 1 species
AUUGAACGCUGGCGGCAGGCCUAACACAUGCAAGUCGAGCGAGCGGCGGACGGGUGAGUAAUGUCUGGGACACUGCCUGAUGGAGGGGGAUAACUACUGUCAACGGUAGCUAAUCCCGCAUACCAUCAGAUGUGCCCUGAUGGGAUUAGCUAGUAGGUGGGGUAAAGGCUCACCUAGGCGACGAUCCCUAGCUGGUCUGAGAGGAUGACCAGCCACACUGGAACUGGGACACGGUCCAGACUCCUACGGGAGGCAGCAGUGGGGAAUAUUGCACAAUGGGCGCAAGCCUGAUGCAGCCAUGCCGCGUGUGUGAAGAAGGCCUUCGGGUUGUAAAGCACUUUCAGCGGGGAGGCGGGACCCGCAGAAGAAGCACCGGCUAACUCCGUGCCAGCAGCCGCGGUAAUAC